rnacentral:rRNA from 1 species
UACAUGGGGUGCAAACGUUGCUCGGAAUUAUUGGGCGUAAAGCGCACGUAGGCGGUUCGUUAAGUCGGAUGUGAAAGCCCUCGGCUCAACUGAGGAAGUGCACCCGAAACUGGCGAGCUUGAGUACGAAAGAGGAUCGCGGAAUUCCCGGUGUAGAGGUGAAAUUCGUAGAUAUCGGGAGGAACACCGGUGGCGAAGGCGGCGAUCUGGGUCGAUACUGACGCUGAGGUGCGAAAGCGUGGGAGCGAACAGG